GCGAGUGUAGUUCAGUGGCUAGAAUACGAGUUUGCCAUACUUGAGACGUGAGUUCGAUUCUCAUCGCUCGCA
rnacentral:tRNA from 2 species